GGUAAGGAAGAGCGGCAGGGCUGUUCUUGGAUUGGGGAUCAUGCGUUCUGCUGACCUGUUGCUGGACGGUGACCGGCCGUCGUGCCCACUGCGUCAAUGUUAGCAUUAUGGGAGGAAUCAGCCACCACGCACGCACCCCUUCUCUUUUCCGGUUGCCCGUUUGUGCACGCGUGUUUUGCACGUGGCCUUCUCUGUGAGCUGUCGACGUGAGUCACCGUGCACACUUGUGCUCUUCGCAUGUUUUUGUGGUGUCGGUUUUAGUUUUAUGCUUCCUGGUGUGCUUGUGCACCGCAUCGUGCUGCGCGGGGUUUGUACCGGAGGGCUUGCUCCAACGCGUGCUCCGUAUCGGCUGUCUGACCCUUAUUUUUCCCGGCGCGCCGUGCCUCUCUUCCUGACAACGGGGACCACACGUCACUGUGGCAUCAGUGCCCAGUCCACAUCCCCGCUCUCUGUGCGAGGAAGCCGAGCAGCCCCGCUAUCCCUGCCGAUGCCAAACCCACGUCUCGCCGUCAGAAGGACAGAUGCCUAGGGCGUAGCGCAGUGAGCGCGAUGGAUCGCUGCUGACGUCUGCGGUCAGCUCCAGGACGGCCUGGCGUCGGAGCGGCCUGCGACAGCGUGAGCAUACCUGGCCCAUCCAUAUGAUUAGGCACGAGUGCCCGCGUGACUCGAACGCACCCCACCCCCAUCCCGGCCCUCAACGGCCCACCGGUGCGGGGAGCCUGAGGCCACCCCGAGGACGACGCACCAGGUGGCGAGCAGUAUGAUGGAAGCGGCUGCGAGGCGACCUGUAGAGCGCGGGGUGGGUGGAGUUUGAGGCAGUCGGCCGUGCUCUCAGACGGCUGGGUCGGCGCAUUGCUGUAACGCGGGUGCGUCUACGGCUGCUUCGCAUCACGCGAUGGGGGGUCUGUGUAGCACGCCGGGGAGGAGGAAAGGGGGAGCGGGUUAGAGCGGAACACCGACCUCCUGUUGCAUAGCAGAGAAUGGACACGUCGAAGAUGAACCAAGCGAAAAAAAAGAUUACAUGCUUCUGUUCCGUGUUGUGUGUGUGUGCGCGCGCGCGUGAGGGCGCGGUGCGCCGCCUCAUGAGCGUGGCUCCUCGCUCUUGGUUUUGUGUGUUGUCGUAGUUCAACGUCUGCUGCUUGUCGUUGCUUGGCUUACGUGUCCAUGGGUGGCUCUCCCCUGUGCACCCGUGCCGGCAGCCUACUUGUACUCUUCCCCGUCUUUGCCCUCUUACUUUCCGCUGAGCUCGUUUAUGCGAGUGCGGGUGCACGCAUGUGGCUCUCUUUCUCUUUUCGGGUCUUCCGAUGUUCUCUCUCUCUCGUUCUCUGGGACGCCUGUGUUGCAUGCUUCUUGGACGCAUACAAGCGAAACACAAAAACCCGCGCAUCGUUCACGUGUGCACGCAUCGGCGCAUAGAGAAGAGGGACCAUAAUCGGAGCCUGAGCGGUCGAAGAGGAAAACGGCGGGCACCUCGUCUCUCGCGUUCGAGAGUACUGGUAACGGAAAUGCGCCGUGGCAGCGCGCUUGGAGUGUGUGUCUGUCUGCGUUUUUCUCCUCGACUGGUGCUUGCCGUCCCCCGGCCUUGUUAUGGGUGAUCGCAUCGGCUCCUGGCGUUGCAGGAGAGUGGUGGCGCCGGGGCGAGGUGGAAGUGCUCCUCGUUUGUGUUUCGCGCAUUGCCUUCGAGCCGCCGUCAAGUCGACCGCCAUGAGUCGCGCACAGACGCACGUUGGCGCUCCUGCCUGCCACUGCGUUCUUGCGCGAUACGUGUUGGUGCGUUCAUUUCCUGCCUAACCUCCUCCUUUGCCUCUCUGCACGUGGUGCCUGCGGGCGCCCACCUUCUCCUUUCCUCGGUGCUGAUCGUCGGCAAG
rnacentral:misc_RNA from 1 species